UGGGGAAUCUUAGACAAUGGGGGAAACCCUGAUCUAGCCAUGCCGCGUGAUCGAUGAAGGCCUUAGGGUUGUAAAGAUCUUUCAGAUGGGAAGAUAAUGACGGUACCAUCAGAAGAAGCCCCGGCUAACUCCGUGCCAGCAGCCGCGGUAAUACGGAGGGGGCUAGCGUUAUUCGGAAUUACUGGGCGUAAAGCGCACGUAGGCGGAUUGGAUAGUUGGAGGUGAAAUCCCAGGGCUCAACCUUGGAACUGCCUUCAAAACUUCCAGUCUUGAGGUCGAGAGAGGUGAGUGGAAUUCCGAGUGUAGAGGUGAAAUUCGUAGAUAUUCGGAGGAACACCAGUGGCGAAGGCGGCUCACUGGCUCGAUACUGACGCUGAGGUGCGAAAGCGUGGGGAGCAAACAGG
rnacentral:rRNA from 1 species